rnacentral:ncRNA from 1 species
UUGAUAUUACUGUACUAAUAAAACAGACUCGGCUUAAUUUAACACAAAAUGGGAAAACUCACGCGGCCCAGACAUCGUGGGACGAUUUGUGCGAUCUUUUAAAGGGACAAGCGGUGUUCAGCCGCAUGAAACUGAGCAAUAACAGGUCUGUGAUGCCCUUAGAUGUCCGAGGCUGCACGCGCGCUACACUGGAGGAAUCAACGUGCUAUGACCAUUGUCGAAAGGCACUGGUGACCUGUUGAAAAUCCUUCAUGCUCGGGAUAGGGAAUUGCAAUUAUUUCCUUUGAUCAAGUGUGAGUCAUCAGCUCACGCUGAUUACGUCCAUGCCCUUUGUACA